AUAAAUUUGUGGAGAAAAUGGGAAAAAAGAAAAAAAAAAAAUCUGUUCUUAUCAGUUUAAUAUCUGAUACGUCCCUUAUCUAGGGACCAUAUAUUAAAUUGAUUUUUGGAACAGGGAGAUGGAAUAGGGGCUUGCUCCGUCCACUCCACGCAUCGACCCAGUAUUGCAGUGCCUCUGGGAACGGUGCACUUCCC